rnacentral:lncRNA from 1 species
GGGCCGUCUUUGCCUAUGAGAAGCACCAUGACCUCAAGCUCCUGGACUCUGGAGCCGGGGGUCCAGAUGAGCUUGCCGAAAAGUUCUCCAGCACCAGCAUCAUGUACGGGCUGUGCCGCAUCCAAGACCCCGGCACUGGCGCUCACCGCAUCGUCCUCAUCAACUGGGUCGGUGAGAAGGCACCAGAGUCCCAACGAGAGGCGUGU